rnacentral:rRNA from 1 species
GGGGUUGGCCCAAACCGUUGAUGUGCCAAGGAUGCCGCCGUUGCAUCUAGUGGGUAGCGGGAAGGUCGUCUGAAGAUCUGCAAGGUAUGCGGCAUUAUGAUACGCCGAACUGGAAAGGUCUGGAAAGGCCUGCCGUAGAUAGUUAAAGCCUCGUACAGGUAAACCGUAUCGAAUGUAUGAUCUCUCCCAAGUAGCACGGAACACUAGGAAUUCUGUGUGAAUCUGCGAGGACCAUAUCUCGUAAGGCUAAAUACUCUUACUUACCGAUAGCGCAUAGUACCGUGAGGGAAAGGUGAAAAGAACCCCGGGAGGGGAGUGAAAUAGAACCUGAGAUCGUGUGCUUACAAGCGGUCAGAGCCCUUUGGGGUGAUUGCGUGCCUUUUGGAGAAUGAUCCUGCGAGUUACGUUCAGUGGAAAGGUUAAGUUUAACGGGGCCGAAGGGGAACCGAGUCUGAAUAGGGCGACAUAGUCGCUGGGCGUAGACGCGAAACCUGGUGAUCUAAGCCUGUCCAGGGUGAAGCUGUGGUAAG